rnacentral:tRNA from 1 species
GCCCCUGUAGCUCAAUGGAUAGAGCGCCAGCCUUCUAAGCUGUCGGUUGUGGGUUCGAAUCCCGCCAGGGGCG